UUUUUAAACCACAGUUAAUUUAGAAAGAGAUUUUUAAUGUCUCAAAUGCAAAAAAAGAGGGAUGACCUUAUCAAUAACCUUUAGCAACCAGUCUUUGAUAGGGCAUUUGUUACUCUAAUAUCACACUGAUUACAGUUUGGCAUUGGGGAAUAGGGGCUUUCGCACUAGAAGAACCUUUUAUAGUUCCUAUGACUAUUGGCAGGAGUACCCACUUUUUGGCGUGUUCGCACUGCAGGAACGUGGAAUGACCCUACUUAAGUGUAGGGUCUAACCCAGCACAACAGGAACUACCAGUGACAUAAGUGUAAGCUGAUUGGCUGAACUAACUACAAACAUGGAAAACAGUGAUAGAUGGACUUCUCAACCUUGGCUUCAGGAUAAAAUCCAACGCAAGUUUGAGGUGACCGAGUGAAACAUGAUUAUCUAUUUCUGCUCAGCUAGCAACACUGGACAUCAAACACACGAAGCCCACAACUAACAGGAAACUCAAACUCAUUAAAUGGCUACAAAGCAAAAAGUUACUAGCAAGGAGAGUAAAGUGCUCAAGAUGUGGCCAUAAUAUGAGAAUGAAGAGAGCUACAUCUCGAAAUCUCGACGGUUUUCAUUGGAUGUGCAGACAUAAAAGUCAUCGAGGCAAGAAAACCAGCCGAUCAGUGCGAGUCGGGUCUCUCUUCGAGAGAUCAAAACUCAGCUUGUCAUCUUGGCUAAUAUUCAUUUACAGGUUUGCUCAGGGAUUGCGGAUUAGACAAAUUGAUAUGAUGCAAGAUGGCAUUGCAAAAAGUUCCAGAACCCUCUCUAAGAUGGCUCGUAUCAUGAGGAAAGUUUGCCACUGUGCUAUAAAACGAUACAGACGAAGACAUGGACAAAUGAUUGGAAGUGCUCGAGAAUUUGCUGUUCUUGAUGAAAGUAACUUCCGUCAUAAACGAAAGUAUGGACGAGGGAGAGCAUCAACAACAUGGAGGCGAAAAAAAUGGGUCUUUGGCAUGCUAGGUGUGAGGGAUAAAUGCAGACACCCAAUCUUGCGGCUUGUGAAAAGAAGAUCAAGACCUCACCUAAUCCCCAUAGUUGUAAAACAUGUGCGUCCAGGCACUACCAUUAUUUCAGAUGAGUGGAGAGCCUACCGGGGGGCUUUGGCCAAUAUGGGCUACAAACAUUUUACAGUGAACCAUUCCCAGUGGUUUGUAGACCCACACAGUGGAGCUCAUUCACAACACCUUGAAAGAGCUUGGUUGACAUACAAAACAAGUGUAUGGAGACUAAGGGGGAACAGGACAGAGAAAAUGCUAAAAGAGCACCUCUCUCUCAUAGAGUGGACUCAUUGGCUUGGUGAAAAAAAUAAACGGGGGCCACUUGGGCGCCUAAUAAAAGAUAUUCACCAUCAAUUUCCUGUUUAGAGGACAACACACUGAACAUUUGAUUGUGUUUUAUGUAAUAUUUAAGUAAAAUACAAGUUAACUUGUCCUCUUGAUUUAAGGUGCACUGAUAUUUAAAAGCUUUGUUUAAUAAAAUGUGUAUUUUACCUUUUUAAUUUCUGUGCUUUAAGUGCUGGGUAAUAUUUAUCUUGAAAUAAUCAUCUUGAAUAUACUGUUGCAAAAUAAGAGUCACCUUUGUAGAUGUUAAUUGAGAUUAUUUAGAUAAUGACUUCACAUUACGUAAUCAUUAACAACUCAUAAACUAACAUGAAUUCAUGACUUGUUGAUGUAUCAUUAUGUCAUGACUUUACUUGGGGGGGCACA